rnacentral:tRNA from 2 species
GGCGGCGUAGCCAAGUGGGAAGGCGACGGUCUGCAAAACCGUUAUUCCCCGGUUCAAAUCCGGGCGCCGCCUCCA